rnacentral:rRNA from 1 species
UUCCGGUUGAUCCUGCCAGAGGUUACUGCUAUCGAGGUUCGACUAAGCCAUGCGAGUCGAAUGUAGCAAUACAUGGCGUACUGCUCAGUAACACGUGGACAACCUACCCUUAGGAUGGGGAUAAACCCGGGAAACUGGGUAUAAUACCCAAUAGAUCUGGUCUGCUGGAAUGCUUCCAGAUUUAAAACUCCGGUGCCUAAGGAUGGGUCUGCGGCCUAUCAGGUUGUAGUGGGUGUAGUGUACCUACUAGCCUACGACGGGUACGGGUUGUGAGAGCAAGGGCCCGGAGAUGGAUUCUGAGACACGAAUCCAGGCCCUACGGGGUGCAGCAGGCGCGAAAACUUUACAAUGCCGGCAACGGCGAUAAGGGGACCUCGAGUGCCAGGUUACAAAUCUGGCUGUCGCGAUGCCUAAAAAGCAUUGCAUAGCAAGGGCCGGGCAAGACCGGUGCCAGCCGCCGCGGUAACACCGGCGGCUCGAGUGGUAACCGUUAUUAUUGGGUCUAAAGGGUCUGUAGCCGGCCGGGUAAGUCUCUUGGGAAAUCCAGCAGCUCAACUGUUGGGCUUUCAGGAGAUACUGCCUGGCUCGAGGCCGGGAGAGGUGAGAGGUACUUCAGGGGUAGGGGUGAAAUCUUGUAAUCCUUGAAGGACCACCAGUGGCGAAGGCGUCUCACCAGAACGGACCUGACGGCAAGGGACGAAAGCUAGGGGCACGAACCGGAUUAGAUACCCGGGUAGUCCUAGCCGUAAACGAUACUCGCUAGGUGUCGGCCACGGUGCGACCGUGGUCGGUGCCGUAGGGAAGCCGUGAAGCGAGCCACCUGGGAAGUACGGCCGCAAGGCUGAAACUUAAAGGAAUUGGCGGGA